UACAGAGGGGGCAAGCGUUGUUCGGAAUUACUGGGCGUAAAGGGCGCGUAGGCGGCCUUCUAAGUCGAACGUGAAAUCCCCGAGCUUAACUUGGGAAUUGCGCUCGAAACUACGUGGCUCGAGUGUGGCAGAGGAAGGUGGAAUUCCACGUGUAGCGGUGAAAUGCGUAGAGAUGUGGAGGAACACCGAUGGCGAAGGCAGCCUUCUGGGCCAACACUGACGCUCAUGCACGAAAGCGUGGGGAGCAAACAGG
rnacentral:rRNA from 1 species